AUCGCUUCUCGGCCUUUUGGCUAAGAUCAAGUGUAAAAACUGUAAGGUAAUCAAUUAAAACACCACCUAGGGCCGGCGCCGCGGCUCACUAGGCUAAUCCUCCACCUAGCGGCGCCGGCACACCGGGUUCUAGUCCCGGUUGGGGCGCCGGAUU
ensembl:snRNA U2 U2 spliceosomal RNA